rnacentral:misc_RNA from 1 species
GAAAUCUUCAAAGCAAACCUUUUGUUAAUUCAAUCGGUCUCUUGCUUUGGUAUUGGAGGUCUUUGCAGCUUCACACCUGCUCCUCUUUGUUNAUUAGCUGGAUCUCAGUGUUAUGCUUGGUUCCACUCGGCGUGAUAAGUUAUCUAUCGCUGAGGACACCGUAAAAAAGUGGCCAAGGUAAAUGCAGACGAACCGCUUCUAAUAGUCCAUUCACUUGGACAAUUAAAUUUUUAUGAUCUGAUCUCAAAUCUAGGACUACCCGCUGAACUUAA